rnacentral:rRNA from 1 species
CAGCUAGUUGGUGAGGUAACGGCUCACCAAGGCGACAAUCCGUAGCUGGUCUGAGAGGACGACCAGCCACACCGGAACUGAGACACGGUCCGGACUCCUACGGGAGGCAGCAGUGGGGAAUAUUGGACAAUGGGGGAAACCCUGAUCCAGCGACGCCGCGUGUGUGAAGAAGGCCUGCGGGUUGUAAAGCACUUUUAGUGGGGACAAAAAGCUACGGACUAAUAUUCUGUGGUCUUGAUUUAACCCAAAGAAAAAGCACCGGCUAACUCUGUGCCAGCAGCCGCGGUAAUACAGAGGGUGCGAGCGUUAAUCGGAAUUACUGGGCGUAAAGCGCGCGUAGACGGUUUUGUAAGUCAGAUGUGAAAUCCCUGGGCUCAACCUGGGAACUGCAUUUGAUACUGCAUGGCUAGAGUAUCGAAGAGGGAAGUGGAAUUUCCGGUGUAGCGGUGAAAUGCGUAGAUAUCGGAAGGAACACCAGUGGCGAAAGCGACUUCCUGGUCGAAUACUGACGUUCAUUGUGCGAAA